rnacentral:rRNA from 1 species
UACAGAGGUCUCAAGCGUUGUUCGGAUUCAUUGGGCGUAAAGGGUGUGUAGGUGGCGCGCUAAGUCGGGUGUGAAAUUUCGGAGCUUAACUCCGAAACUGCAUUCGAUACUGGCGUGCUUGAGGACUGGAGAGGAGACUGGAAUUCAUGGUGUAGCAGCGAAAUGCGUAGAGAUCAUGAGGAAGACCAGUGGCGAAGGCGGGUCUCUGGACAGUUCCUGACACUGAGACACGAAGGCCAGGGGAGCAAACGGGG